rnacentral:rRNA from 1 species
AGCAGCCGCGGUAAUUCCAGCUCCAAUAGCGUAUAUUAAAGUUGUUGCAGUUAAAAAGCUCGUAGUUGAAUUUCGGGGUUAGUAGGUUGGUCGUGCCUCUGGUAUGUACUCGCCUUUACUGAUUCCUCUUUCUUGAAGAACUGUAAUGCCAUUAAUUUGGUGUUGCAGGGAAACAGGACUGUUACUUUGAAAAAAUUAGAGUGUUUAAAGCAGGCCGAUGCCUGAAUACAUUAGCAUGGAAUAAUGAAAUAGGACGUUGAUCCUAUUUUGUUGGUUUCUAGGAUUGACGUAAUGAUUAAUAGGGAUAGUUGGGGGCAUUAGUAUUCAAUUGUCAGAGGUGAAAUUCUUGGAUUUAUUGAAGACUAACUACUGCGAAAGCAUUUGCCAAGGAUGUUUUCAUUAAUCAAGAACGAAAGUUAGGGGAUCGAAGACGAUCAGAUACCGUCGUAGUCUUAACCAUAAACUAUGCCGACUAGGGAUC